AUAGGGGAGCCGGAGGGAAACCGAGUCUUAAUUGGGCGUUAAGUUGCAGGGUAUAGACCCGAAACCCGGUGAUCUAGCCAUGGGCAGGUUGAAGGUUGGGUAACACUAACUGGAGGACCGAACCGACUAAUGUUGAAAAAUUAGCGGAUGACCUGUGGCUGGGGGUGAAAGGCCAAUCAAACCGGGAGAUAGCUGGUUCUCCCCGAAAGCUAUUUAGGUAGCGCCUCGUGAAUUCAUCUCCGGGGGUAGAGCACUGUUUCGGCUAGGGGGCCAUCCCGGCUUACCAACCCGAUGCAAACUGCGAAUACCGGAGAAUGUUAUCACGGGAGACACACGGCGGGUGCUAACGUCCGUCGUGAAGAGGGAAACAACCCAGACCGCCAGCUAAGGUCCCAAAGUCAUGGUUAAGUGGGAAACGAUGUGGGAAGGCCCAGACAGCCAGGAUGUUGGCUUAGAAGCAGCCAUCAUUUAAAGAAAGCGUAAUAGCUCACUGGUCGAGUCGGCCUGCGCGGAAGAUGUAACGGGGCUAAACCAUGCACCGAAGCUGCGGCAGCGAACGUAUCACCCAAGACAACUUUACGGAGUUGACGAUUGACGGAGCGAAGCGACGUCAAAGCGUUCAUUAAAGUCGAGUUGGCUUAGGGAUACGUUCGUUGGGUAGGGGAGCGUUCUGUAAGCCUGUGAAGGUGUGUCGUGAGGCAUGCUGGAGGUAUCAGAAGUGCGAAUGCUGACAUAAGUAACGAUAAAGCGGGUGAAAAGCCCGCUCGCCGGAAGACCAAGGGUUCCUGUCCAACGUUAAUCGGGGCAGGGUGAGUCGACCCCUAAGGCGAGGCCGAAAGGCGUAGUCGAUGGGAAACGGGUUAAUAUUCCCGUACUUGGUGUUACUGCGAAGGGGGGACGGAGAAGGCUAUGUUGGCCGGGCGACGGUUGUCCCGGUUUAAGCGUGUAGGUGUGUGUUCCAGGUAAAUCCGGUUCACUUUAACACUGAGGCGUGACGACGAGGCACUACGGUGCUGAAGCAACAAAUGCCCUGCUUCCAGGAAAAGCCUCUAAGCAUCAGGUAACACGAAAUCGUACCCCAAACCGACACAGGUGGUCAGGUAGAGAAUACCAAGGCGCUUGAGAGAACUCGGGUGAAGGAACUAGGCAAAAUGGUGCCGUAACUUCGGGAGAAGGCACGCUGACACGUAGGUGAAGUGAUUUACUCAUGGAGCUGAAGUCAGUCGAAGAUACCAGCUGGCUGCAACUGUUUAUUAAAAACACAGCACUGUGCAAACACGAAAGUGGACGUAUACGGUGUGACGCCUGCCCGGUGCCGGAAGGUUAAUUGAUGGGGUCAGCGUAAGCGAAGCUCCUGAUCGAAGCCCCGGUAAACGGCGGCCGUAACUAUAACGGUCCUAAGGUAGCGAAAUUCCUUGUCGGGUAAGUUCCGACCUGCACGAAUGGCGUAAUGAUGGCCAGGCUGUCUCCACCCGAGACUCAGUGAAAUUGAACUCGCUGUGAAGAUGCAGUGUACCCGCGGCAAGACGGAAAGACCCCGUGAACCUUUACUAUAGCUUGACACUGAACAUUGAGCCUUGAUGUGUAGGAUAGGUGGGAGGCUUUGAAGUGUGGACGCCAGUCUGCAUGGAGCCGACCUUGAAAUACCACCCUUUAAUGUUUGAUGUUCUAACGUGGACCCGUUACCCGGGUUGCGGACAGUGUCUGGUGGGUAGUUUGACUGGGGCGGUCUCCUCCUAAAGAGUAACGGAGGAGCACGAAGGUUGGCUAAUCCUGGUCGGACAUCAGGAGGUUAGUGCAAUGGCAUAAGCCAGCUUGACUGCGAGCGUGACGGCGCGAGCAGGUGCGAAAGCAGGUCAUAGUGAUCCGGUGGUUCUGAAUGGAAGGGCCAUCGCUCAACGGAUAAAAGGUACUCCGGGGAUAACAGGCUGAUACCGCCCAAGAGUUCAUAUCGACGGCGGUGUUUGGCACCUCGAUGUCGGCUCAUCACAUCCUGGGGCUGAAGUAGGUCCCAAGGGUAUGGCUGUUCGCCAUUUAAAGUGGUACGCGAGCUGGGUUUAGAACGUCGUGAGACAGUUCGGUCCCUAUCUGCCGUGGGCGCUGGAGAACUGAGGGGGGCUGCUCCUAGUACGAGAGGACCGGAGUGGACGCAUCACUGGUGUUCGGGUUGUCAUGCCAAUGGCACUGCCCGGUAGCUAAAUGCGGAAGAGAUAAGUGCUGAAAGCAUCUAAGCACGAAACUUGCCCCGAGAUGAGUUCUCCCUGAGACUUAGAGUCUCCUGAAGGAACGUUGAAGACGACGACGUUGAUAGGCCGGGUGUGUAAGCGCAGCGAUGCGUUGAGCUAACCGGUACUAAUGAACCGUGAGGCUUAACCUUACAACGCCGAAG
rnacentral:rRNA from 1 species